rnacentral:rRNA from 1 species
CGGAGGGGCUAGCGUUGUUCGGAAUUACUGGGCGUAAAGCGCACGUAGGCGGACGGAGAAGUCAGAGGUGAAAUCCCAGGGCUCAACCUUGGAACUGCCUUUGAAACUUUCUGUCUUGAGGUCGAGAGAGGUGAGUGGAAUUCCGAGUGUAGAGGUGAAAUUCGUAGAUAUUCGGAGGAACACCAGUGGCGAAGGCGGCUCACUGGCUCGAUACUGACGCUGAGGUGACGAAAGCGUGGGGAGCAAACAGGAUU